rnacentral:rRNA from 1 species
UACGUAGGGUGCAAGCGUUAAUCGGAAUUACUGGGCGUAAAGCGUGCGCAGGCGGUGAUGUAGACAGUUGUGAAAUCCCCGGGCUCAACCUGGGAACUGCAUCUGUGACUGCAUCGCUGGAGUGCGGCAGAGGGGGAUGGAAUUCCGCGUGUAGCAGUGAAAUGCGUAGAUAUGCGGAGGAACACCGAUGGCGAAGGCAAUCCCCUGGGCCUGCACUGACGCUCAUGCACGAAAGCGUGGGGAGCAAACAGG